rnacentral:tRNA from 1 species
GCACCCAUAGCUCAACUGGAUAGAGUAUCAGCCUCCGAAGCUGGCGGUUGCAGGUUCGAAUCCCGCUGGGUGCACCA